GGGAUUGUGGCUCAACGGUAGAGCACUCACCUAGCACGUGCGGGGCCCUGGGUUUGAUCCUCAGCACCA
rnacentral:tRNA from 1 species